AGCUGGCAGAUGGUACAGGAGGAAAGAAGACAGUCUGGGGAUCCAAGGGGAGAGAAGGAAGAUUCACCUUUCAGUCUUUUGUUGUCUGUCUACUUUGAAGUUCUUCCAGGUCUGAAGUCACACUUAUCCUACAUCUGACAAUGCAGCAACCCAAAGAAAGAAGUGCAUGUUAGAUCAUGUCCCAACAGAACUGCUAAGAGGGAAUACACACUGACAGAGUUGAUAAUGUACUGGAAAGUUAUCAUUGUCUCUAGAAAGCUCUGGAAAAGAGUAGAGAUUAUGAACUGCUGUAGAACCUAUCCUCAGUAAUGAUUAAUAAAACCAGGUGUUUAUUGCUUCCUUGCAAAGGGACUUGAAAACCCCAUAGUUAGGGUAAUUUCAUUUUUAUGUGGGGGGUUAUUUUCCAAACAGAUUAUCAAGUGUGUCAUUCAGCCCUCAGCAGUCAACUGUAUUAUGUUGAGUUCCCCCCCAAGUAAAGGUCAAAUUAAUUUUAAUUUGUCUUUACAAAUUGCAAAUUGUGACUAUGGAGCAAGACUCUUCUAAUAAAUGAUUUUUACUUAUUCGCCACCCUAGAAGGAGCUUUUGCUGAGAUAAAAUAAGACACAUAGUGCACCUUUUGUCGAGAAUGUUAUACUGGUCAUAGGCCAGUCAUUGUUACCUGUGCAAUAAAACUCUUUUUAGAUCUUCAA